GGGCUUCGUCGCCGAAUGGCCGUGGCUGCAUGUGGACGGCGUGCUGGACGAACACGGCUACCCGCUCGGCGAGUUCGGUGUCUCCCCGCAGCCUG
rnacentral:tRNA from 1 species